GGUAUCCUGUCUGAAUAUGGGGGGACCAUCCUCCAAGGCUAAAUACUCCUGACUGACCGAUAGUGAACCAGUACCGUGAGGGAAAGGCGAAAAGAACCCCGGCGAGGGGAGUGAAAAAGAACCUGAAACCGUGUACGUACAAGCAGUGGGAGCACAGGUUUACCUGUGUGACUGCGUACCUUUUGUAUAAUGGGUCAGCGACUUAUAUUCUGUAGCAAGGUUAACCGAAUAGGGGAGCCGGAGGGAAACCGAGUCUUAAUUGGGCGUUAAGUUGCAGGGUAUAGACCCGAAACCCGGUGAUCUAGCCAUGGGCAGGUUGAAGGUUGGGUAACACUAACUGGAGGACCGAACCGACUAAUGUUGAAAAAUUAGCGGAUGACCUGUGGCUGGGGGUGAAAGGCCAAUCAAACCGGGAGAUAGCUGGUUCUCCCCGAAAGCUAUUUAGGUAGCGCCUCGUGAAUUCAUCUCCGGGGGUAGAGCACUGUUUCGGCUAGGGGGCCAUCCCGGCUUACCAACCCGAUGCAAACUGCGAAUACCGGAGAAUGUUAUCACGGGAGACACACGGCGGGUGCUAACGUCCGUCGUGAAGAGGGAAACAACCCAGACCGCCAGCUAAGGUCCCAAAGUCAUGGUUAAGUGGGAAACGAUGUGGGAAGGCCCAGACAGCCAGGAUGUUGGCUUAGAAGCAGCCAUCAUUUAAAGAAAGCGUAAUAGCUCACUGGUCGAGUCGGCCUGCGCGGAAGAUGUAACGGGGCUAAACCAUGCACCGAAGCUGCGGCAGCGACGCUGAUGCGUUGUUGGGUAGGGGAGCGUUCUGUAAGCCUGCGAAGGUGGCCUGUGAGGGUUGCUGGAGGUAUCAGAAGUGCGAAUGCUGACAUAAGUAACGAUAAAGCGGGUGAAAAGCCCGCUCGCCGGAAGACCAAGGGUUCCUGUCCAACGUUAAUCGGGGCAGGGUGAGUCGACCCCUAAGGCGAGGCCGAAAGGCGUAGUCGAUGGGAAACGGGUUAAUAUUCCCGUACUUGGUGUUACUGCGAAGGGGGGACGGAGAAGGCUAUGUUGGCCGGGCGACGGUUGUCCCGGUUUAAGCGUGUAGGUGUGUGUUCCAGGUAAAUCCGGUUCACUUUAACACUGAGGCGUGAUGACGAGGCACUACGGUGCUGAAGCAACAAAUGCCCUGCUUCCAGGAAAAGCCUCUAAGCAUCAGGUAACAUCAAAUCGUACCCCAAACCGACACAGGUGGUCAGGUAGAGAAUACCAAGGCGCUUGAGAGAACUCGGGUGAAGGAACUAGGCAAAAUGGUGCCGUAACUUCGGGAGAAGGCACGCUGACACGUAGGUGAAGUGAUUUACUCAUGGAGCUGAAGUCAGUCGAAGAUACCAGCUGGCUGCAACUGUUUAUUAAAAACACAGCACUGUGCAAACACGAAAGUGGACGUAUACGGUGUGACGCCUGCCCGGUGCCGGAAGGUUAAUUGAUGGGGUCAGCGCAAGCGAAGCUCCUGAUCGAAGCCCCGGUAAACGGCGGCCGUAACUAUAACGGUCCUAAGGUAGCGAAAUUCCUUGUCGGGUAAGUUCCGACCUGCACGAAUGGCGUAAUGAUGGCCAGGCUGUCUCCACCCGAGACUCAGUGAAAUUGAACUCGCUGUGAAGAUGCAGUGUACCCGCGGCAAGACGGAAAGACCCCGUGAACCUUUACUAUAGCUUGACACUGAACAUUGAGCCUUGAUGUGUAGGAUAGGUGGGAGGCUUUGAAGUGUGGACGCCAGUCUGCAUGGAGCCGACCUUGAAAUACCACCCUUUAAUGUUUGAUGUUCUAACGUGGACCCGUGAUCCGGGUUGCGGACAGUGUCUGGUGGGUAGUUUGACUGGGGCGGUCUCCUCCUAAAGAGUAACGGAGGAGCACGAAGGUUGGCUAAUCCUGGUCGGACAUCAGGAGGUUAGUGCAAUGGCAUAAGCCAGCUUGACUGCGAGCGUGACGGCGCGAGCAGGUGCGAAAGCAGGUCAUAGUGAUCCGGUGGUUCUGAAUGGAAGGGCCAUCGCUCAACGGAUAAAAGGUACUCCGGGGAUAACAGGCUGAUACCGCCCAAGAGUUCAUAUCGACGGCGGUGUUUGGCACCUCGAUGUCGGCUCAUCACAUCCUGGGGCUGAAGUAGGUCCCAAGGGUAUGGCUGUUCGCCAUUUAAAGUGGUACGCGAGCUGGGUUUAGAACGUCGUGAGACAGUUCGGUCCCUAUCUGCCGUGGGCGCUGGAGAACUGAGGGGGGCUGCUCCUAGUACGAGAGGACCGGAGUGGACGCAUCACUGGUGUUCGGGUUGUCAUGCCAAUGGCACUGCCCGGUAGCUAAAUGCGGAAGAGAUAAGUGCUGAAAGCAUCUAAGCACGAAACUUGCCCCGA
rnacentral:rRNA from 1 species